rnacentral:misc_RNA from 1 species
AACUUUUUGCAAUGGAUCACUUGGCUCUCGCAUCAAUGAAGAACACAGCGAAAUGUGAUGAGUAAUGUGAAUUGCAGAAUCCAGUGAAUCAUCGAAUUUUUGAACGCAUCUUGCGCUCCUUGGCAUUCCAAGGAGCAUGCCUGUUUGAAUGUCAUUAAACUAUCAAAACACUUUUUCUCGAGGUGUUUUGGACUUUGGGAGCACUGUGCUGGUCUCUGUUUGAGCCAGCUCUCCUCAAAAGCAUUAACUUUGAGACCAUCAGUGUGAUAAUUUGUUUGCACUGGCUUCUCUUUUUUAACUGCCCCUUUGACCUCAAAUCAGGUAGGACUACCUGCUGAACUUAAGCAUAUCAAUAAGCGGAGGAU